AGCGAACGCUGGCGGCAGGCCUAACACAUGCAAGUCGAACGAAGUCUUCGGAGUUAGUGGCGGACGGGUGAGUAACACGUGGGAACGUUCCAUUAGGUUCGGAAUAACUCAGGGAAACUUGUGCUAAUACCGAAUGUGCCCUUCGGGGGAAAGAUUUAUCGACCUUUAGAGCGGCCCGCGUCUGAUUAGCUAGUUGGUGAGUUAAAGGCUCACCAAGGACACGAUCAGUAUCUGGUCUGAGAGGAUGAUCAGCCACAUUGGGACUGAGACACGGCCCAAACUCGACAGGGAGCACGCGGGUGGGAAUCUUGCGCAAGGGGCGAAAGCCUGACGCAGCAAUGCCGGGUGAAUGAUGAAGGUCUUAGGAUGGUAAAAUUCUUUCACCGUGGACGAUAAUGACGGUACCCGGAGAAGAAGCCCCGGCUAACUUCGUGCCAGCAGCCGCCGUAACAC
rnacentral:rRNA from 1 species